rnacentral:pre_miRNA from 1 species
GGGCCUCUGUGGGCAUCUUACUGGACAGUGCUGGAUUUCUUGGCUCGACUCUAACACUGUCUGGUAACGAUGUUCAAGGUGACCCAC